rnacentral:rRNA from 1 species
CGAAUGCUGACAUAAGUAACGAUAAAGCGGGUGAAAAGCCCGCUCGCCGGAAGACCAAGGGUUCCUGUCCAACGUUAAUCGGGGCAGGGUGAGUCGACCCCUAAGGCGAGGCCGAAAGGCGUAGUCGAUGGGAAACAGGUUAAUAUUCCUGUACUUGGUGUUACUGCGAAGGGGGGACGGAGAAGGCUAUGUUGGCCGGGCGACGGUUGUCCCGGUUUAAGCGUGUAGGCUGGUUUUCCAGGCAAAUCCGGAAAAUCAAGGCUGAGGCGUGAUGACGAGGCACUACGGUGCUGAAGCAACAAAUGCCCUGCUUCCAGGAAAAGCCUCUAAGCAUCAGGUAACAUCAAAUCGUACCCCAAACCGACACAGGUGGUCAGGUAGAGAAUACCAAGGCGCUUGAGAGAACUCGGGUGAAGGAACUAGGCAAAAUGGUGCCGUAACUUCGGGAGAAGGCACGCUGAUAUGUAGGUGAGGUCCCUCGCGGAUGGAGCUGAAAUCAGUCGAAGAUACCAGCUGGCUGCAACUGUUUAUUAAAAACACAGCACUGUGCAAACACGAAAGUGGACGUAUACGGUGUGACGCCUGCCCGGUGCCGGAAGGUUAAUUGAUGGGGUUAGCGGUAACGCGAAGCUCUUGAUCGAAGCCCCGGUAAACGGCGGCCGUAACUAUAACGGUCCUAAGGUAGCGAAAUUCCUUGUCGGGUAAGUUCCGACCUGCACGAAUGGCGUAAUGAUGGCCAGGCUGUCUCCACCCGAGACUCAGUGAAAUUGAACUCGCUGUGAAGAUGCAGUGUACCCGCGGCAAGACGGAAAGACCCCGUGAACCUUUACUAUAGCUUGACACUGAACAUUGAGCCUUGAUGUGUAGGAUAGGUGGGAGGCUUUGAAGUGUGGACGCCAGUCUGCAUGGAGCCGGCCUUGAAAUACCACCCUUUAAUGUUUGAUGUUCUAACGUUGGCCCCUGAUCGGGGUUGCGGACAGUGUCUGGUGGGUAGUUUGACUGGGGCGGUCUCCUCCUAAAGAGUAACGGAGGAGCACGAAGGUUGGCUAAUCCUGGUCGGACAUCAGGAGGUUAGUGCAAUGGCAUAAGCCAGCUUGACUGCGAGCGUGACGGCGCGAGCAGGUGCGAAAGCAGGUCAUAGUGAUCCGGUGGUUCUGAAUGGAAGGGCCAUCGCUCAACGGAUAAAAGGUACUCCGGGGAUAACAGGCUGAUACCGCCCAAGAGUUCAUAUCGACGGCGGUGUUUGGCACCUCGAUGUCGGCUCAUCACAUCCUGGGGCUGAAGUAGGUCCCAAGGGUAUGGCUGUUCGCCAUUUAAAGUGGUACGCGAGCUGGGUUUAGAACGUCGUGAGACAGUUCGGUCCCUAUCUGCCGUGGGCGCUGGAGAACUGAGGGGGGCUGCUCCUAGUACGAGAGGACCGGAGUGGACGCAUCACUGGUGUUCGGGUUGUCAUGCCAAUGGCACUGCCCGGUAGCUAAAUGCGGAAGAGAUAAGUGCUGAAAGCAUCUAAGCACGAAACUUGCCCCGAGAUGAGUUCUCCCUGACUCCUUGAGAGUCCUGAAGGAACGUUGAAGACGACGACGUUGAUAGGCCGGGUGUGUAAGCGCAGCGAUGCGUUGAGCUAACCGGUACUAAUGAACCGUGAGG